UUACGACAUGACACGCCUCGAUGUAACUGGAGGGUCCGUUUUUUAAACUUUUCUCCAAUACUAUAGAGCCAUUACCAUGUCAUCAACGCUUGAAUAGAACCUAGUUCACACCCCCGAUUUUGAAGUCAACACAGUUGCUACAGUCCCAUUAAUUUUCUUUGUACGGAAUGGGCACACUGAAGAAACGACAGGCAGAGGGACCAGGCCACAGCAUUGUCACAGAGGUGAUGGAAGAUUUCAUAAAGCAGCUGAGGGACAACUUCUCCACCAGAUUUGAAGACAACAGCAUGCCCAAGGAUAUCAUUGCGUUUGUACGUGAUCCGUGGAGAAUUCAAAUCAAAUCAUAUGUUUUAUUUUUUAUUGAUUACAUUCAUGUGUUUACCAGAUGUUAUUGCGGGUGUAGCGAAAUGGUUGUGAUUCUAGUUUCGACAGUGCAGCAAUAUCAAACAAGUAAUAGUUAACGAUUUCAUAACAAAUACCCAAUACACAUAAAUCUAUGUAAAGGAAUGGAAUUAAGAAUAUAUAAAUAUAUGGAGGAGGAAUGUCAGCGUGGCAUAGACUAAGAUACAGUAGAUAGUAUAGAAUACAGUAUAUACAUAUGAUAUGAGUAAUGCAAUAUAUGUAAAGAUUAUUAUUAUUAGUGUCAUUAUUAAAAGUUAUUCAAUUAAAGUUAUUAAAUGACCCCCCCCCCCUUGCUAAGAAAAUGAUACCCUCGCAGGAUUAGGCCGACAGUCAAACUGAGCUGAUUAAAUUCCAGACACCGAGCCAAAUCAGGGAAGAGCUCAGGAGUGCGGAGUCCUUGUGUGCGUUCUGGGUGACAUGCUCAGAGGAAUACAGCACAUAAAGAAGCGUGCAUUUUACGUGUUAACAAUAUUUUGAUCGAUUUACACAUGCGAGUCCUCAUUUUUCUAUAUGAAGGUAAUAUAAACUCAAGACAGGAAUCCGGCUUUCACAUAGGUCAAUCGAAGAGUGCCUACGCAUCAAAAUCACAUCCAGCUCAUUAAUGUCUCAAUCAAAAUCUCGAUUGCCUCUUGUCCGCUCAUCCUUCUCUUAUGCCAUAGUUUGUAUUGUUUGUAUUGUUUGGUGUUGUGUUGUGUAGUGGUUUUGCUGGCAUACAUCUAAAAUUGUUUUUUUUUCCCCAAGCAAGAUUUACAUGCUAAAAUUGCUACUGAUCUCAUGCGACAUCCACAAGAUCGUGUCCGAGGGGAAAUUCAACUUUUUCCGUUGAGUAAGUAACUUAGUGGCCUAUAUCACUGUAUUUGGUAAAUACGAACAUUACUGAGUGCUUAUCCAGGGAUAUUUAGGUCUCAAACUGACAGUAUUUUCUGUUUGUUAAAGGAGCAGGGCAAGCAGGCUCUCACGACACAGAUAUUCAGACACAGACAGUGACUUUUUUCUUUCAAUUAUUGUUUUAUGUAAGAUGCUACAUUUUUGGCCAGUUGCAAUUGUAAGUGGGCCUAAUAAAAAAAAUCCCAUUUCUAAUAGGACAUAUAUUUUUUUGUGAAAUAUGUUGUUAAGCCUCGUAGCCGAUCUCCGUCAGUUACAUUAUUUUAUAUAGGCCUAGGCUCGGAAGAAAUAAGCCCUCUUGUUGUUUAUAAAGUCUAAUAAAUAAAAAAAAGAUUGUU
ensembl:lncRNA